rnacentral:ncRNA from 1 species
UAUUUAGAUGUGAUGAAGUAUACUCUUUAUUUGGGCACUUUAGAGUAUAUGGAGCAAGUAGUGCAACCGGCUAAAU